rnacentral:misc_RNA from 1 species
UGGUUCCGCGCGUGCUGUGAAGCAGGACUGUUUAGAUAUUGAAGGGUGGCCGUCGGACUUUCAUGAAUCUGAACCAUGGAUCUCCAGAUGAAAUUAUGUGACAGUGUGACAGGCUCCCUGAAUAGGACUCCCAGUUUUAAUCUCAAGAUGUUUCGGAAAUCUGUCGACGAGAGUAACUCGGAGGAAAGUCGUAAGAUUCGGCGCCACACGCCCGUGGGGUCGGGGGAGUACAGCGUGGGGUGCUGGGAUAUGAUGUGUGGGGGGCCCACGGAGAAGGGCUCCUUCUUCAGACUGUUCUACCCCGUGGAAAAGACGGACAUUUACAAAAGAGACAAACAGUGGCCACUUUGGUUACCAAGGAAACAGUACGGAGAAGGCUAUGCAGACAUUCUGACUAAAAACCCGAAAAUAAAAGUUGUCGGAAAGUUAUUAAAUUGGAUGGGAGGCGACGUGUACGUUCCCGCCCUUUGGCAGGGCCCACUAUGUCCCUCCAACACUCAGUUUCCGGUGGUCAUCUUUUCGCACGGACUGGGGGGUAACCGGACGACCAACACCACAGUGUGCUGCGAGCUCGCCUCCCAGGGAUUUAUUGUGGCCUCUCUAGAGCACCGAGAUGGUUCGGCCUCUAUGACGUAUCACCUAACAGAACAAGUCAACAAACACAACGUCACCACGUCCGGGGAAUCGAACACCCGACCGCACCACCGGCCCGCCGUCCACCGCACCCACCUCUACUCGGAGGAAUGGAAGCCGUUUGAGUGGUUCGAACCCUGGGACGACUUCACCUACAGAAACAAACAGGUUCAUCACCGCGCUGACGAGGUAAUUCGGGCGCUGGAAACUCUGAUUCUGCUGCAUAAUGGCAAAGAAGUUCACAACAUCAUGAGAACACACUUCAACACUAAGCAAUUUAUGAACCGCCUUGACCUGUCCCGUGUGGUGGUCAUGGGCCACUCUUUCGGUGGUGCUACAACUUUGUGUACGCUUUCCAAGGACAAGAGAUUUCGGUGAGUUCUAGAAUUAUAGUUUUAUACGUGUUUAAAGUUCAUUUAAGUCGGUCAAACCUUGCCUAUACUUAUGUCUUAACCCCCAGUAAUUUAAAAAUCCAUCAGAAAAAUAUAAGUAUAUUUUUAAAACCCUUUUCAAUUCCCUUUAUUUGAUAUUUGACUUAUGUUUAUAAACAGUAUUAUUGAAUAAACAUAGUACGUCAUUCAACGAGAUUUAAAAUAUUCCACUUCGAGCCAUUAAGUCUCGAUGUUCGUCAGUUUGUUCGGUCGGUCGCCAGGAUUCAGAUAUAUAUACAUAUAUAAAGUUUAUCAGAGUGGUAGUCAAGCAUACAUUCAUAACAAUCAAUAAUUUGAUUUGAAUUUUAUAAAUCAAGCUGUAAAUUAUUUUAAAAAACUUAUAAUAAUGUCGCUAGUAAUGGAAAUGAAAAUCGAUAAUGAUUAAAUUGGUUUUACUUGAGAUAUUUGGAAUUGGUAUUCUAUAAGAUUUGCAUGUCAUGUUUAUUUGAUUAGGGACAUUAUUUAACUGCUGGCAGAAUGCAAGUACAGUGUAAAAAUAUACCACAUAGAUAUACACGUUACUAUUAAUAUUUUCAAAUACCUUAAAAAUAAAUUGUCCCUCCUGCCGUCGAACAAAAUCGAAAAACUAUAUUGUAGGGAUUUGGUAGAACAUCAAACCUUUUUAAGGUUUUCUCCUUUCAAAAAUUCUUAUAUUAAAGACAUGAACUCUAACGUUUCGAGAAAUGUGUUGAUCAAGUAGCGACUUCUUUUAAAUUGUAUUCACCUUUUAUUACACAUUGGGUGUGGUGUUAAGGAAAGAGUUCUGCGAUAUCGUAUUCACUGUAUACCGAUCCUGUUGACAGACUGGGCGUGGUGCUGGACGGGUGGAUGCACCCCCUGGACGAGCGGGUGUACGAGGACACCCAACAACCGGUGCUGAUGAUCAACAUGGAGUCCUUCCAGUGGAAGACAAACGUGGAACAGAUGAUGAGGCUCCUGUCGCAGGACGAGGAGAACCGCAGGAUGAUCACCAUCAAGGGCACCUGUCACCAAAGCGUCACGGACUUCCAGUUCCUGGUCAAUAAGACUGUGGGUCGUGUCCUGGACGUCCGUCACCGUCUGUCACCCAAGGUCGCCAUGUCCCUCACCAACAAAGCCUCCCUGGGCUUCAUCCGCAAACAUCUAGGAUUGAAGAGCAAGGACACUCACGAGGAUCUCUUGUGUGGUGACCAUGACCACAUUAUAGCGGGCACCAAUGUCGACCUGUCGUAAACUGAGGGUCACCACGCGACUUCCGUCUUCCCGUCCUGAUGACGUCACGACUCCGUCUUUCUGGUGUUUAUCUGAACUGCUACACAUCGUGUUCACACACAAGCUCAAUCUGUGAUAUGUAACUGCGCUUUUUGCCGUUAUGAAUCUCUCCCUUUUUACCUUAGUGUGUCUCAAACUGCAGGGCAGUGAACCCCUGUGUCGACAUACCCCCGCAAUCAGUUCCCAAUGCAAACGUCAGGGUAUUAUAGUAUACUCAUCUCGGUCCUUGUGGCUGGGUCAUCCAAACUCGGCCUCCAUACGGCAGGUCCUUGUAGAACCAGAGUCAAGCGCUUACCCCCCGCAAUCUUGUCCCUUUGGAGGCUGUGUCUACGUACCGAUCACUGCCCCCUCCACCCCCGGGACAGGGUUACUGGAACCGGCGCCGACUUACCCUACCUCUUAUAGAAAUCCCAUGGUGCUUCAUUGUCCCUGUGUUACAGUUUAUAUUUUGAUAUCUAUAGCUUCUUUUUUAACAUAUUUAAUUGUUAUUUCUACAGAAUUGUGUAUAUUACUUCACCGUUCUGAAAAAUCGCCAAAAUAUUUAUUGUUUACUAUUACUUUGUUCUGUUAUUAAAUUAUUUUGCACGAU